GAUGAUUUUAUGAAUAGAUUUCUAUGUUGUUUUGGUGACUAAUUAUUUGGAUAUGAAUGUAUGAGAUAUGAUGCAUGAUGGUUGUACCAUAUGAUGAAAUGACUAUAAUGCAUGAAUUUCUCCAAAGAUUGAUACUUGUUUGAUUAAAUAAGUGACAUGAUAUUAUUGAGCAUGUUGAUUUUAUGCAUACAUCCUUUGGGUAAUUGAUCAUUGUUUAUUAUGGAGAUAUUGAGUAUGAUGUAUGAAAAAAAGAUGAUUGGUAAUUACAUGCAGG
rnacentral:lncRNA from 1 species